CCUACGGGAGGCUGCAGUGGGGAAUAUUGCACAAUGGGGGAAACCCUGAUGCAGCGACGCCGCGUGAGUGAAGAAGUCAUUCGUUAUGUAAAGCUCUAUCUGCAGGGAAGUAAAUGACGGUACCUGAGUAAGUAUCCCCGUCUAACUACGUGCCAGCAGCCGCGGUAAUACGUCGGGGGCAGGCGUUAUCCGGAUUUACUGGGUGUUAAGGGAGCGUAGUCGGCAGUGCAAGUCUGGAGUGAAAGGCGGGGGCUCAACCCCCGGAUUGCACGGGAAACUGGAGGGCUGGAGUGCAGGGGAGGUAAGUGGAAUUCCUGGUGUAGCGGUGAAAUGCGUAGAUAUUAGGAGGAACACCAGUGGCGAAGGCGGCUUACUGGACUGUAACUGACGUUGAGGCUCGAAAGCGUGGGGAGCAAACAGGAUCAGAUACCCCGGUAGUC
rnacentral:rRNA from 1 species